AGAGUUUGAUCCUGGCUCAGAACGAAUGCUGGCGGCGCGCCUAAUACAUGCAAGUCGAGCGAGAAGGUGUAGCAAUACACUUGUAAAGCGGCGAACGGGUGAGGAAUACAUGGGUAAUCUACCAUCGAGUGGGGAAUAACCAGCCGAAAGGUUGGCUAAUACCGCGUACGCCUCCGGAUCUUCGGGUUCGGAGGGAAAGCCACACUGUGAGUGCGGCGCUCUUUGAUGAGCUCAUGUCCUAUCAGCUUGUUGGUAGGGUAACGGCCUACCAAGGCUUUGACGGGUAGCUGGUCUGAGAGGACGAUCAGCCACACUGGCACUGCGACACGGGCCAGACUCCUACGGGAGGCAGCAGUAAGGAAUAUUGCGCAAUGGGCGAAAGCCUGACGCAGCGACGCCGCGUGGGGGAUGAAGGUCUUCGGAUUGUAAACCCCUUUCGGGAGGGAAGAUGGAGCGAGCAAUCGUUCGGACGGUACCUCCAGAAGCAGCCACGGCCAACUUCGUGCCAGCAGCCGCGGUAAUACGAAGGUGGCAAGCGUUGUUCGGAUUCACUGGGCGUACAGGGUGUGUAGGCGGUUUGGUAAGCCUUCUGUUAAAGCUUCGGGC
rnacentral:rRNA from 1 species